CUAGCAUGUGCGCAAGUCAUUGGGUAUUUAUAAUAAACCUAAAGGCGUAAUGAAAGUAAAUAUAUAUAUAAUUUUUAUAAUUAUUAUUAUAAAGGGAAGAUGGGUAACGUUAUUUAUGUUACCUCGCAUUCCCGGGGCGUCGCGUACUUAUUGCAAGUUGCGGCGCACCAAGAGCGUACACGCUGGGACCCGAAAGAUGGUGAACUAUGCCUGGUCAGGAUGAAGUCAGGGGAAACCCUGAUGGAGGUCCGUAGCGAUUCUGACGUGCAAAUCGAUCGUAUGAACUGGGUAUAGGGGCGAAAGACUAAUCGAACCAUC
rnacentral:rRNA from 1 species